rnacentral:rRNA from 1 species
CACAAGCAGCGGAGCGUGUGGUUUAAUUCGAUGCUACACGAAGAACCUUACCAGGGUUUGACAUGCAAGUGGUAGGAAACUGAAAAGGGACCGACCUUCGGGAGCUUGCACAGGUGCUGCAUGGCUGUCGUCAGCUCGUGUCGUGAGAUGUUCGGUUAAGUCCCGCAACGAGCGCAACCCUUGUCAUUAGUUGCUACAUUCAGUUGGGCACUCUAAUGAGACUGCCGGUGACAAACCGGAGGAAGGUGGGGAUGACGUCAAGUCCUCAUGGCCCUUAUAGGUGGGGCUACACACGUCAUACAAUGGCCGGUACAGAGGGUAGCCAACCCGCGAGGGGAAGCCAAUCCCACAAAGCCGGUCGUAGUCCGGAUCGCAGUCUGCAACUCGACUGCGUGAAGUCGGAAUCGCUAGUAAUCGCGGAUCAGCAUGUCGCGGUGAAUACGUUCCCGGGUCUU